GGUCAUUUGGCCCUGGUAGUAAGAAGGAAGAUACACGUGUUGCGCGUGUGGAGGCUGCCCGUACACAUUCAUAGCUGCUAUGCCGAUUUCAUCACCACCUACAUUAUACGCCGGCGACAUUUGGCUUAGCUUUACUUUCUAACAGUAAAUUAAUAACCAGCGUGUGGCCCUGCUGUGCAGCUUGAUGUAACGGCGUAUAACCAGCAUUGGUAUUGUUAUCAACAGUUGCACCAGAGCGCAAAAGGAAUCGUACCAUUGCUGCCUGACCAAAAUGAGCUGCAACGUGCAAUGACAAUAGAAUCAAGUGGACAAGUCGAAUACUGAGAGAAAACAAUACAAAAACACAACCCAGAGCUAUUUAAAAGUACUUGUUAUGUCUGUAAUGAUAAUUAAAUUAUAUUUACAAUGUUAAUAGUAUAACCCACAAAUGUUGAUAAACAUAACUACAUUACCUUUGUUUUAACAUCAAUCUGUGCACCAUUCUUUACGAGAAUAGAAGCAACAUUGACUUUAUCCUCUUGUGCGCAUAAGUGUAACGGCGUAAGACCAUUCUGUAAAGAUAAAUAAAUAAUAGAAUAAAUAAAUAAUAGAAUAACAAAUUUCUCAA